UACGGGGGGGGCAAGCGUUGUUCGGAAUUACUGGGCGUAAAGGGCUCGUAGGCGGCCAACUAAGUCAGACGUGAAAUCCCUCGGCUUAACCGGGGAACUGCGUCUGAUACUGGAUGGCUUGAGAUUGGGAGAGGGAUGCGGAAUUCCAGGUGUAGCGGUGAAAUGCGUAGAUACUGGGAGGAACACCAGUGGCGAAGGCGGCUACCUGGACCAACACUGACACUGAGGAGCGAAAGCCAGGGGAGCAAACGGG
rnacentral:rRNA from 1 species